UUCAUACUUCCUUCGUCCAGAAAUACGUGUCAUCAAAAUGAAUAAAAGGAGAUGUAUUUAGAUGUAUUUUAGUUCUAGAUACAUCUAUUUUUGUCCAUUUUGAUGACAAGUAUUUUCAGACGGUGGAAGUUGUAA
rfam:Triticum urartu cultivar G1812 contig484860, whole genome shotgun sequence.